AAUGAGGCCCUGACCGGCCUGCGGACGAGGGAGCAGUACCCGCACAGGACAAGACUGACUCAGA
rnacentral:ncRNA from 1 species